rnacentral:rRNA from 1 species
UACGAAGGGGGCGAGCGUUGUUCGGAUUUACUGGGCGUAAAGGGCGCGCAGGCGGUCUUGAAAGUCAGGCGUGAAAGCCCCGGGCUUAACCUGGGAAUUGCGCUUGAUACUCUGAGACUGGAGUACGGGAGAGGAGAGUGGAGUUCCCAGUGUAGAGGUGAAAUUCGUAGAUAUUGGGAAGAACACCAGUGGCGAAGGCGGCUCUCUGGACCGUAGCUGACGCUGAGGCGCGAAAGCGUGGGGAGCGAACAGG